AGAGUUUGAUCCUGGCUCAGAGCGAACGCUGGCGGCAGGCCUAAAACAUGCAAGUCGAACGCCGUAGCAAUACGGAGUGGCAGACGGGUGAGUAACACGUGGGAACGUGCCUUUUGGUUCGGAACAACCCAGGGAAACUUGGGCUAAUACCGGAUAAGCCCUUCGGGGGAAAGAUUUAUCGCCAGAAGAUCGGCCCGCGUCUGAUUAGCUAGUUGGUGGGGUAAUGGCCCACCAAGGCUACGAUCAGUAGCUGGUCUGAGAGGAUGAUCAGCCACACUGGGACUGAGACACGGCCCAGACUCCUACGGGAGGCAGCAGUUAGGAAUCUUGGACAAUGGGCGCAAGCCUGAUCCAGCCAUGCCGCGUGAGUGAUGAAGGCCUUAGGGUUGUAAAGCUCUUUCAGCGGGGAAGAUAAUGACGGUACCCGCAGAAGAAGCCCCGGCUAACUUCGUGCCAGCAGCCGCGGUAAUACGAAGGGGGCUAGCGUUGCUCGGAAUCACUGGGCGUAAAGCGCACGUAGGCGGCUUUCUAAGUCAGGGGUGAAAUCCUGGAGCUCAACUCCAGAACUGCCUUUGAUACUGGAGAGCUUGAGUCCGGGAGAGGUGAGUGGAACUCCGAGUGUAGAGGUGAAAUUCGUAGAUAUUCGGAAGAACACCAGUGGCGAAGGCGGCUCACUGGCCCGGUACUGACGCUGAUGUGCGAAAGCGUGGGGAGCAAACAGGAUUAGAUACCCUAGUAGUCC
rnacentral:rRNA from 1 species